GUACUUACACAGACAUGGGGGAAAGUGGACCCUGUUAUCACUCCCCUGUAUGGAUGGGUAAACAGGCUGAGAUCACACACUGAGAGGUUAAAGCCGAGCCAUCAUUAGAAGCAGCACCAAGCCCGAGGUUCCUGCUUCAGCUCGGGAAAUAGAGAUUAGCAUAUAAAUAGCCUUCGGUGCCUGCUUGAUUCCAGCUAUUUUGCGUUUCAAUGUGGCAUCAGAAUGCACUUAGCAAGAAAUGUUCGAGAGGAGAAAGAGGUU
rnacentral:lncRNA from 1 species